rnacentral:lncRNA from 1 species
AUGAGCGAGCCAUCACUAUAUUCAUGAGCAGCACAUUUGGGAUGACAUGCUGAUAAACAAGCAAAAUCUAUCACCAAGUCAUCAGGCCAUCACAUAGUAUGGUACGUGAUGUUUUCUAGAAAUUUAGACAAAUCAAUCUAUGAGAAAGUACCAAGUUUCAGCCGAUACAAAUGGCAUUCAUUCAGCUAAUGCAAGAGACAUAAAAGGAUAGUUUUCUGUGCGUUACAAAUUUAGAAGCCAGCUAAAAUACAUUCAUUCAGCUGAUGCAAGAGACAUAAAAGGACAGUUUUCUAUGCGUUACAAAUUUAGAAGCCAGCUAAAAUAUUAUACACUCUGACAAUGGUAGACAUAGAUACAAAGCAAGUCGAGUCCCUCAAGAAGCCUAUGGUUGGUGUAAUCCGUAAGACAUCUGCAAUUAGAUCAAUAAUAAUGGAGUCACUGCUGAAAAUGGUCUAGAAAACUGAUCAGGUAGCUUGCAAGUUAUAUCUGACCAUGUUAAAGACCAGGUAAGUCAAAGAAAGUAUAUAUAUUUUUACAUCUAGAAGCUGCAAAGGUCAGCAACUCAAGUAAAUAUGGGUAAGUAAUUUUGUUAACAAACCACUAAGUGUGCCAUUAUUCCCAAAAUCAAACAUUGCCCAGGACAAGUUACUAGUUAGAAGGAAUACGAUACCUAUGCUACUCCAGAGUCUACCUAGUUACUAGUCAAACUAAAUAAGGUACCUAUACUACAAUGCCCAGGACAAGAUAACAUGGUCCGACAGGACACCAGCGUCGGAAUAUUUUCCUUGGCUUCUGGUGCAAAGCAAGUUGCUCACUGCUGAUAAACUGAUGAUCACGAACUGGCCAUGCAGCCCAAACUUUGCACUAUGUGACCAAAUGCAUAAGAAGAACUAAAGUUGCAGCUGAUGAUGUACACACCUUGGAAUAUUAGGAAAGAAAGAAACCGCAAGACCUUUGAUGGGUGAUCAGCGCAAUCGAACCAGGUCUGUCAAGCAAGGUCCCUUGAUGUUCAUAUAAUUUGUAGCCUGAAAGUUUGUUCAUAGCACUGUCAAAGUUUAUAGAUGUUUCACCAAGGCUCUACAAUAACAAUAACAAAGAAAGUUGAAAGUAGAAAGUGAUCAAAUCUUUAUUAUGAAGAUAACUAAUACCCGAUAAUAUAUAAGCAAUGGUCCAUACUAAUCAUAAUUCUGUCUUAGAAAAAUAUUUCAGAAUUCAAUAAACCUUCUUGCAGUAAUCAGUUGAGAUGCACCAACAGAAUUCAAACUCGAUAUCACCACAAAUAGAUUGCUGCAGUUUAUGCAAAGUACCGCAAUAUAGAAUGGAAAGACAAAUAUAAUUUCCCCAAUCCAGGUGAGGAAUAGUAAGGGUUUUGUACCUCUGAAGCUGCCUAUCCAGCAGAGAUAGACUAGCUUCUUUUCCUUGCAUCCUUGUCUGCUCCAUUCUUAAAUAUGACCCCACAAAUAGAGGCAGCACGGAAAGUUACUAAUAACCACAAUAGUGCUAAGAAGAACUAUUCAGCAGCAGCUAGUAAGAUGUCAAAGUUAACUAAAAUUCAAUUUAGUUAAGAAACAAGGCAUGCAUUUUUUGUUGCAGUAAAGUUAACUAAUUAAUAGGAUUGUGCAGCAUAAAUGUAAACAUUUUUUUUCCGAUUCAAAUAACCUACUAAAAUGACAGCACAAACAAAUGGAUGCUUGACAAGGAGAAUGUGAUAAGCAAAAUGAAAGAGGCAAGAAACAUAUAACUAUACAUUCUUACUGCAAUGUUUGUGUUUAUACAUUCUUACUGCAAUAUUUGUGUUCAUAACAAAUAUGAUGAGUAUAUAUCUGAUUCAUCUGGGACUUGAACCUAUAUAUCUAACUAAAAAAAUUGAAUCAGUGUUGGUGCUCGUGCUGGUUAGUUGAUGUUCCCAGGAUUGGAUCUCAGAUAGAACAAUUGGAAAUUGAGAUGUUAACUAUGAGAACUCAAAUUGCAGGCAUGAGAAGUGCAAACCCUAGGCAAUCUGAUAGAGGAGGAAGCAGGAGGAAGAACUCACAUCAUGGUGGGUGUCGAGGACGAAGACGAGGUCGAGGCGCCAUGGUGGAUGCGGAGGAGGCAGCGGAGGUAGAGGUCCAUGGGUAGAGGCGGCGUUUUAGACGACGGGGAGGGGACAUGGCGACCCGUGGACGCAGAGGCAGAGAGACGGCGGUGCCUGGACGAGGAGUCGAGGCUUGGAGCGACGGUGUCACUUGGACGGGAGGCGGAGGAGGGGCGGCGCUAGGACGGGAGGCGGAGGGGCAGCGACGCCUGGACAAGGAGACCGAUCGGCGUCAGCGUGUCGCACGGGGAGCUGCACAGGAAUGCGGUGUCCGGACCUUCGAGGUGCGGAGGACCUACCUUGGGGAAGUCGUGAGGAACGGGUUGCCUAGCCCCACGGCGUGGGCUUCCAAAUGGCGAGGAGUUUUGGUCCGUGCCUCAGUUUCCAUGCGGGCUGCCUGUCCGGGGAAAAGGCUAGGAUCCUAGCAGGAUUUUAGCGGGAUUUUAUGCUCCCAAACUAGCUCUAAGGGAGAGGGAGCUGAGAACGCAAUCGCCAGUAAUGAUUAGAGCGGCACGGCUCAGGGAAGGCCUGAGCUGCAGAGCAAGGAGGUGAUGUGCGGGGAGCAGAAGAACACACGGAAAAGCCACCGGUCAAAAAAAUGAGAGGAAGGAUAAAAGGAUAUAUGUGUG